AACGCAAAUUGCACUCUCCGGUUUUCCGGGAGAGUAUGCCUGUUUGAGGGUCAGCCUAAAAUACAUCGACAUUGUUGCUGGUUGCUGUUGCUUCAUGGUGACUUUUGUCGGAGAUUGGGUCAUCUUAAACCUCGGUUUAAGCGACUUAAAAUUUUUUCUUUACGAUUCCGUGAACGUUUCUAAGAUUUUUUAUAUUCUUAUACGUUUAAGGUUAUCGAACCAAUUUUUUAAUAUUAGACGUGGCCGUCGCAUCGGAUCGCGUCUAUAAUGACUUUCGUUAACUGACCUCAGACAGGUAAGAGUACCCGCUGAACUUAA
rnacentral:misc_RNA from 1 species